rnacentral:rRNA from 1 species
ACACAUGCAGUCGAGCGGGGAANNANGGUAGCUUGCUACCUGGACCUAGCGGCGGACGGGUGAGNUAAUGCUUAGGAAUCUGCCUAUUAGUGGGGGACAACAUUCCGAAAGGAAUGCUAAUACCGCAUACGCCCUACGGGGGAAAGCAGGGGAUCUUCGGACCUUGCGCUAAUAGAUGAGCCUAAGUCAGAUUAGCUAGUUGGUGGGGUAAAGGCCUACCAAGGCGACGAUCUGUAGCGGGUCUGAGAGGAUGAUCCGCCACACUGGGACUGAGACACGGCCCAGACUCCUACGGGAGGCAGCAGUGGGGAAUAUUGGACAAUGGGCGAAAGCCUGAUCCAGCCAUGCCGCGUGUGUGAAGAAGGCCUUUUGGUUGUAAAGCACUUUAAGCGAGGAGGAGGCUACUUNGAUUAAUACUCUNGGAUAGUGGACGUUACUCGCAGAAUAAGCACCGGCUAACUCUGUGCCAGCAGCCGCGGUAAUACAGAGGGUGCGAGCGUUAAUCGGAUUUACUGGGCGUAAAGCGUGCGUAGGCGGCUUUUUAAGUCGGAUGUGAAAUCCCUGAGCUUAACUUAGGAAUUGCAUUCGAUACUGGGAAGCUAGAGUAUGGGAGAGGAUGGUAGAAUUCCAGGUGUAGCGGUGAAAUGCGUAGAGAUCUGGAGGAAUACCGAUGGCGAAGGCAGCCAUCUGGCCUAAUACUGACGCUGAGGUACGAAAGCAUGGG